ensembl:lncRNA
UUUUAUUGUACAUAAAGUGUGUUUGGGAUCAUUGUCAUGCUGAAGAAUUAGGCCAUUAUCAAUCUGCUGCUUGCCCGAUGGUAUUGAAUGCUAGUUCAAAUUCUGACCAUACUUAUCUGCAUCCGUAAUUUGAUCAAGUUUUGACAAUAUCCCCAACAUCACUGGGUGAAACACAGCCUCAAACCAUGAAAAGGUCUCCACUUACAGAUGGCUGUUGAAACUCAACCUCUCCUGGCAACUCAUUGAGCCAAAUUUGGAUUUAUCACUGCAUAAGACCUGUUAGCACUGAUUUUCACUCAAGUUCUUGUGUAAUUUGGCACAGGUAAGCAUUUUCUCCCUGUUCCCAUUCCUUAACAAGAGCCUCUUGACAGCCAUCUUUCCACUGAGACCAUUUCAGCACUGUAAGAUCUAAUGAGAUGACAGUAUUUAAAAAAAUUAUGCAAACUUGUUGCCUUAGAGAAACUAAUUACAGUUUAUUUAAGAUAUACGCAGUACUUUGAAUAAUCAGAUUUUUCUGAGAAUGAAUUAAUGAAAAAGUCAACUGAUGAAUAUGUCAGUUGAAAUAAAUAAUUCGUUUUUAGCACUUUAUAUAGUUUGUUUUUGCUCUACAGGCCAAUUAAAAGCUCAGUUGCACAUGCACACUGAACAUGCAUUUGAAAGUGCCUCCAUUUUUAUUUUUGUAUAAGAAUACACUAAUAUGAACAGUAAAUUUGGGUAAUCAGUUUUUAAAUGCUCAGGGCUGAAUUUAGAUCCUCCAACAGAUAUUUUCACAAAGCUGCAUUACAUUUUUUGGUUCCUCUGAAGAGGAAAACAAACUGUUUUCAUUCAUCUCCUGGCAGUAGCAUGUACCUUAAUGCUACACUGUGUUAUUUGCUAACGCUGUAAGAGACAUUCUGUACAGAGCAUACAGGAGUUUUACCAAAACCUUUGAAAUCUGAAAUAAAAGAGUGGGAGUACAAGUUUUUAUUGACCAGAAAACCAUAAUGAGCUGAAGAAUGCCAAACUGCUACGUAAAGAAGAGGGGAAGUAGUGAGUGGUAUUUCUCUCUGUGUCUGUCCCUCCAGGUUACACAUUUUAAAUAACACGAGUUAAUACAUUAAGGAAAGGUUGCUUUUGUGACAUUUGUUUUGGACAGUAGUCUACAAUGCUCUUCUGCAAAUAUUACUGCUUGAUGAGUGUAUGUUUGCUGUGUUACUAAGUUUGGACAGGUUUGAUAUACUUCUAAAUUAUUCAGAUUGUGGUCAGCAGACCUUUUGUCUAUUGAGCAGCUGUUUUGUUUUGACAACACCACUGCCACAAGCAGUGUUUUAUGUGCUGUAUGCUGGAUAAAAAUAAAUAAAUUAUUUUUACCUGCAGGGGUGCUCUCUUACCUGCAGACAACCACCAUAGCCGCAAUGGUGUGUGUGUGUGUGUGUGUGUGUGUGUGUGCGUGCGUGUGUGUGUGUGCGUGUGUGUGUGUGUGUGUGUGUGUGUGUGUGUGUGUGUGAGAGAGAGAUUACCAUACCCCCGAUGGUAAUUGGUUGCAGUAAGUCACAACGAGCAAGGACAGAUGGACUGAACCAAUAAUUUACAAAAACUAACGUCAUUACUUUGAUCUGUUUGUCAGAAUCACCAUCUAGUGCAGGUGCACAGUUGUAAAAACCCAACAGGAAUUUAAAAAAAAGAAACUAAUUUCCUGUUUGUAGGCCUGGCCUUCAAAAUAAUAGCAUGGGUUGUCUAACAGUCAUCGUAGCCGUUCUAG